ACCGCCCCGCUCGCGCCGCCGCUCGCGCUGCCGGGGGUCUCUCAGCGCGGGGGCGGCGCCGGCGGCUGCUCCCGGGGGUCCCGGCGGAGGCGGCUCCGGCCGUGUCGGGCGAGGAGGAGGCGGCCGAGCUCCCCACGGCUGAGCGCCGGGCGGCGAGCGAGCGCAGGAUGGGGGGCGCGUGGCCGGCGGGGCCCUGUGGGCAGUGGUGGAAGCGGCCAGCGCCGGCGCCUCGGUUCUCUGCCUGUGUGAGAAGGGAGAUGCCAAGGUCACGGAAGAGACAGGCAAGAUGUCCAAGAAGGAAAAGGAAAUGAAAACAGGAAGGUGCCGGGUCCUUGUUGCUGUUCCGAGGGUGGUGUUUCUCACAGAGCCUGCGGCAGCUGAUCUUCAAGAUGCUGCAGGAGAUCUGCAGCCUACUGGCAGUACCUCCUAGGCUACCUGCUGCUCAGGGGCUUCGUGGCCUUGGGGGUGUGCUCCAGGAACGGCCCAGUGGAGAACCAGCGCAGCAUCUGUCGCCUCUGCUGGGGCCUGCAGCUCCUGCUCACGGCUCAGGCAUCCAGCUCCAUUCUGUGUCCUUGCCCGUGCUGCUCACUGUCGCCUGCACCGAGAACAUUGAGCACGUGGCCUCUUGGGCUUCCGCUGCCCACAGGGGAGAACUCUCAGCGCCCCGGCUGGCUCCUGGUGCCCCUCUGGCUUUACAGAUGGGGAGAGGGGGGCACAGGAGCUGUGGGGUGUGUGGAAGCCGGUGUGUUCCCCUUUGCUGCCACACACAGCCUUUGCUUUUCUUUGUGAAACUGUCUUUAUCAGGAUAUGUGUCAUUCCUGCUGCUGCUGGUGGUGUCUGUGCUUACAGUGCUGCUCUGGAAAUGUUUGGGUUCCUCUCCCUGCAGCUCAGGCCUGAACCUGCUCUGUCCCAGCUGCAGCCCAUCGAGCAGCGAGUGCGAGGCUUCCUCAGAGCUGGCUCGCUCACAGCAUCUCUCUGUUGGAACGGGAUGCAGUGGGUUUGUGUGGGCAGGUUUGGCAGUCGGGGGCUCCAGGUGUGGCUGCUUUAAACAGAGAGCUUCCCCUGUAUCUGGCAGGGCCAGGCCAGUCAGCUCUGGGCUGGACCCGCUGCUGCCCAAGGCCUGGCCAGUGAGUGAUGGAGGUAAGGCCUCUGUGAUGGACAGACUGGAGAAGGGGAAGAAGAUGCUGCAGCAGAAGGGAGUGAGAAAGUGAGAACAUGUCAGGGGUCCCUGUAUGUGGGUGUGAGGUGACAUCCCUGCAGUGCCCCCCAUGGCCGUGGGGCUCAGUGUGGAGCAUCCAUGUGCAGCGAGGCCGUCCCAGGGGCCAGGAGCUGUGAUUGGUGUCUCUGCGAGGCCGAAGGAGCAGCCCCGGCAGGAGCAGUGGGGCUGGGGGUGUGUCGGGCCCCGCGGGGCUGUGCCUGGGCUGGGUGCCAGGAGGAAACCUCAGGCUUCCUGGCCGGGCGCUGUGGGGGAAGCGCAGCGAGUGCUGCGAGGCCGCGGGGGCUGCGGUUUGUGCAGCAGCAGCUGCAGCUCCCGAUGCAUCUGCCUGCAGGGAACAACGGCCCCUGGGGCACACGGGGACGGUUGGGGACAUGCUGGGGCCUGUCCUGCUGCCGGGCUGGGGACGUGUCCCAGCGCGGCUCCUGCCGGGGCCCUGUCCUGAGGCUCUCCAGGAGGGAUGUUCCUGCAGGCCGGGGCUGCAGCUCUGCCCCCAGCCCAGGGCUGUCCCACAGGGGCUGCAGCAGGGCAGGGGCUGUUCCCUUUCCACCCCGACACAGAGCCAGUGCAGCCCCACAGCUCGGGGUUGGUGGACACUGCCCUUGUGGGUUCUCUGAUGAGUGUAGCCCUGGGGAUGGCCAGUGCUCCCAGUGCUCCCAGUGCUCCCAAUUGAGGGCCUGGAGACCCAUUUCCCCUCUGCGCCUGCCUCGGCCCAUAACUCUGCCCCAUGGCAGCAGCCGUGGCACCUGCAUUGGGACCGUGGUGUCCCUCAUAUAUGGGCAUGAAGGGCACUGGAGAAGCUCAUUGGCGGGCUGAGCUGUGUCAGAGGGGAGAGAGCUCCUGAUCACAUCUCAAAAGGUGCUGCUGCUUGGAUUGGCUCCUGCAGCUGCGUUGGCAUCUCUCAGAGAUCUCACCCUGCCAUCAGCAGCAGCCCCACGAGGGUGCGGGAGCCGUGCCGGGGAGUGGGGAGCAGCAGGGCUGUGGCCGCGGGGCAGGAGGCUCAGGAUGGGCACGCAGGGACUCCUGUGGCCUCGGGUGCUGUGGCUGCUCCUCGGGCUGCAGCUGUGCAGGGGUAAGUGCUGGCUCCCUUGUCCCACAGCCCAGGGCCAGUGGGCACCAGCGUGCUCAUCGGGAUACCUCUGGCAAUUCGGUUUCUUCACGGGUGCCGCUGGGACGAGGGGCAGAAGGUGCUCAAGGGAGUGGAUGCUGUGCC